rnacentral:rRNA from 1 species
GAUGAACGCUAGCGGCGUGCCUAAUACAUGCAAGUCGAGCGAACAGAUGAGGAGCUUGCUCCUCUGACGUUAGCGGCGGACGGGUGAGUAACACGUGGAUAACCUACCUAUAAGACUGGGAUAACUACGGGAAACCGGAGCUAAUACCGGAUAAUAUAUUGAACCGCAUGGUUCAAUAGUGAAAGACGGUUUUGCUGUCACUUAUAGAUGGAUCCGCGCCGCAUUAGCUAGUUGGUAAGGUAACGGCUUACCAAGGCAACGAUGCGUAGCCGACCUGAGAGGGUGAUCGGCCACACUGGAACUGAGACACGGUCCAGACUCCUACGGGAGGCAGCAGUAGGGAAUCUUCCGCAAUGGGCGAAAGCCUGACGGAGCAACGCCGCGUGAGUGAUGAAGGUCUUCGGAUCGUAAAACUCUGUUAUUAGGGAAGAACAAAUGUGUAAGUAACUAUGCACGUCUUGACGGUACCUAAUCAGAAAGCCACGGCUAACUACGUG